rnacentral:rRNA from 1 species
AUUGAACGCUGGCGGCAGGCUUAACACAUGCAAGUCGAACGAGUGGCGGACGGGGGAGUAAUGCUUGGGAAUCUGGCUAAUGGAGGGGGAUAACUAAGGGAAACGGUAGCUAAUACCGAUUACCAUCGGAUGAGCCCAAGGGGGAUUAGGUAGUUGGUGAGGUAAAGGCUCACCAAGCCGACGAUCCCUAGCUGGUCUGAGAGGAUGACCAGCCACACUGGUACUGAGACACGGCCCAGACUCCUACGUGAGGCAGCAGUGGGGAAUAUUGCGCAAUGGGGGCAACCUGACGCAGCCAUGCCGCGUGAAUGAAGAAGGCCUUCGGGUUGUAAAGUUCUUUCGGUAGCGAGGCGUUAACUACAGAAGAAGCACCGGCUAACUCCGUGCCAGCAGCCGCGGUAAUUC